ACGGAAGGCAGCAGUGGGGAAUAUUGUACAAUGGGCGUAAGUCUGAUGCAGCAACGCCGCGUGAGGGAAGACGGUCUUCGGAUUGUAAACCUUUGUCUUUGGUGAAGAAGAAAGUGACGGUAGCCAAGGAGGAAGCCACGGCUAACUACGUGCCAGCAGCCGCGGUAAUACGUAGGUGGCAAGCGUUGUCCGGAAUUACUGGGUGUAAAGGGAGCGCAGGCGGGACAGCAAGUUGGAUGUGAAAUACCGAGGCUUAACCACGGAGCUGCAUCCAAAACUGUUGUUCUUGAGUGAAGUAGAGGUAGGCGGAAUGCCGAGUGUAGCGGUGAAAUGCGUAGAUAUUCGGAGGAACACCAGUGGCGAAGGCGGCCUACUGGGCUUUAACUGACGCUGAGGCUCGAAAGUGUGGGGAGCAAACAGGAUUAGAUACCCUGGUA
rnacentral:rRNA from 1 species